ACUCCCCACCAUUCAUUGCACAGAGCAAAAAUGCUUCUGUGGCUAAACUUGGUGUCCUUACUGGCAUUUCUCCAUGGUGCCAAGUCUCAAGUCCAGUUGGUGGAGUCAGGAGGGGAUGUGAGAAGACCUGGAGAGUCCCUCCAUCUCCCCUGCCAAGCCUCUGGUUUCACCUUCCGCAACCAUGAGAUGA